rnacentral:rRNA from 1 species
CCUACGGGUGGCAGCAGUGAGGAAUAUUGGGCAAUGGGCGCGAGCCUGACCCAGCCAAGUAGCGUGAAGGAUGACUGCCCUACGGGUUGUAAACUUCUUUUAUAAAGGAAUAAAGUGAGGCACGUGUGCCUUUUUGUAUGUACUUUAUGAAUAAGGAUCGGCUAACUCCGUGCCAGCAGCCGCGGUAAUACGGAGGGUCCGAGCGUUAUCCGGAUUUAUUGGGCUUAAAGGGAGCGUAGAUGGGUAGUUAAGUCAGUUGUGAAAGUUUGCGGCUCAACCGGAAAAUUGCAAUUGAUACUGGCAGUCUUGAGUACAGUUGAGGUAGGGGGAAUUCGUGGUGUAGCGGUGAAAUGCGUAGAUAUCACGAAGAACUUCGAUGGCGAAGGCAGCUUACUAAACUGCCACUGACAUUGAUGAUCGAAAGUGUGGGUAUCAAACAGGAUUAGAUACCCGAGUAGUC